UACGGAGGGGGCUAGCGUUUUUCGGAAUUACUGGGCGUAAAGCGCGCGUAGGCGGGUUGUUAAGUCGAGGGUGAAAUCCCGGGGCUCAACCCCGGAACUGCCUUCGAUACUGGCAGCCUAGAGGUCAGGAGAGGUGAGCGGAAUUCCGAGUGUAGAGGUGAAAUUCGUAGAUAUUCGGAGGAACACCAGAGGCGAAGGCGGCUCACUGGACUGUUACUGACGCUGAGACCCGAAAGCGUGGGGAGCAAACAGG
rnacentral:rRNA from 1 species